rnacentral:rRNA from 1 species
CCUACGGGAGGCAGCAGUGGGGGAUAUCGCACAAUGGGGGGAACCCUGAUGCAGCGACGCCGCGUGGGUGAAGGAGUGCUUCGGCAUGUAAAGCCCUAUCGGCAGGGAAGAAGCAAGACGGUACCUGACUAAGAAGCCCCGGCUAACUACGUGCCAGCAGCCGCGGUAAUACGUAGGGGGCGAGCGUUAUCCGGAUUCACUGGGUGUAACGGGAGCGUAGACGGCCAUGCAAGCCAGGGGUGAAAGCCCGGGGCCCAAACCCGGGACUGCCCUUGGAACUGCAUGGCUGGAGUGCGGGAGGGGCAGGCGGAAUUCCUGGUGUAGCGGUGAAAUGCGUAGAUAUCAGGAGGAACACCGGCGGCGAAGGCGGCAUGCUGGACUGCGACUGACGUUGAGGCUCGAAAGCGUGGGGAGCGAACAGGAUUAGAUACCCUUGUAGUC